rnacentral:lncRNA from 1 species
CAGCGGCGCACGUCACCGCGCAAGUCCUGGCAGCUGCGCGCUUCACUCUACUGCCUGCGGACCGGCCCAAGUCGUAUCCUGAAAUCUUACUGGGCUGUCCCUUCCUACUUCAGUAACUCCUGCGAAAGAGGGAAACAAAGUUUUAUUUUUACUUGAAGGUUCCAUUUUUAAAAGGUUGUUUUUGUAAGCUGCUAGGAUCUGAGCUGCGCGUACCCCCGCGGUAGCUCGCCCGCGUGGGCUGGGGACGGGGCGGGAAAUGGCCUGCGUGGGCCUCCUCCGCUGCUCUCAUCCUGCACGGACCCGCCCUGCAUGGGCACGCCCUGCGUGCACGGGCCUGCCCGCGUGGACGUGCCCUGCGUGCACCCUUCCUUCAGGGACCCGCCCUUGAACGGCCCUCCGGACGUGGACACUCGUAUACGCCCACCCUGCGUGGGAUCUCCCUGCGUGGACCCAUCCCGCUGAGCCUCUUCUCGCGCAGCCUCCCUCUGGCCCCCUGGGAAGCUACCCUGGUUGUCCGCUGUCUCCUGGCUGGGGGGAGCUCUCAUUGAUUCUGUGAUGAUGCAUGACAGAAGAGCAUUUGUUAGCUUUGCUUUGCUUUUCUUUCUUUUUUGAGACAGCCUCGCUCUGUUGCCAGGCAGGCUUGAGUGCAGUGGCGCGAUCUCGGCUCACUGCAACCUCCGCGUCCCGGGUUCAAGCGAUUCUCCUGCCUCAGCCCCCCGAGUAGCCGGUAUUGCAGGCGCCUGCCACGACGCCCGGCUAAUUUUUGUAUUUUUAGUACAGACGGGGUUUCACCAUGUUGGCCAGGCUGGCCUCGAACUCCUGACCUCGUAAUCCACCCGCCUCUGCCUCCCAAAGUGCUGGGAUUACAGGCGUGAGCCACUACACCCGGCCGUUAGCUUUUCUUUAAAAAAUAAAUUUAAAGGAAAG